rnacentral:rRNA from 1 species
AUUGAACGCUGGCGGCAUGCUUUACACAUGCGAGUCGAACGGCAGCGCGGGCUUCGGCCUGGCGGCGAGUGGCGAACGGGUGAGUAAUGCAUCGGAACGUGCCCAGUAGUGGGGGAUAGCCCGGCGAAAGCCGGAUUAAUACCGCAUACGACCUGAGGGUGAAAGCGGGGGACCGAAAGGCCUCGCGCUAUUGGAGCGGCCGAUGUCGGAUUAGCUAGUUGGUGGGGUAAAGGCUUACCAAGGCGACGAUCCGUAGCUGGUCUGAGAGGACGACCAGCCACAAUGGGGCUGAGGCACGGCCCAGGCUCCAACGGGGGGCAGCAGUGGGGAAUUUUGGACAAGGGGGGAAACCCGGAUCCAGCCAGGCCGCGUGCGGGAAGAAGGCCUUCGGGUUGUAAACCGCUUUUGGUCGGGAAGAAAUCCUCUGGGCUAAUACCCCGGGGGGAUGAGGGUACGGGAAGAAUAAGCACGGGAUAACUACG